CAAUAUCCCCUCAUCUCUAAAAUACACUCUAAUUCCCUCUACAUAAAAUACUAGACCUAAUUUUAAUUCCCACACACACCUACACCUUGACAACAACCGUUUUUCCCUCAAAAAUAGAUCUGAGAGAGCCUACCCCAUCUUCUUCCUUAAACAACCAAAAAAACUAGGGCCAAAGAGAACCAGCAGAGGCAGCUGAAGCUCGCCUGCUUCUCCUCCUUCAAUAGAGGCAGCUUCCUUCUUCGUCCUAAAAUCACGCCCGAAGCCACUCCAAAUCCAACCGAAAAAAAACUUUAAAAUAAUCUGAAAACCUCAGCCAAACACCAUCCUUUUACACCUGAAACCAAGCUCAAAACCAGCUGAAAAAUCAGUCGCAAAACCAGUCAAAAACCAGCUUUCAAACCUCCAUAAACACAGCUGAAAAAUACCAUGUAAAUCAGUCACGUAACAACCUUAAACUAGCUGCAAAUAGCCAUGAAAUCCCCUCAAAACCCAGUUGCAAACACAUUCCAAAAUAGCUCCAAAAUCCAGCUUUAUCUCCACCCCAAACCCAGCUAAAAACAGUCACGAAAUCAUCUCUAAAAAUCGAUCAAAAUUUCACUAAAAACAGUCGAAAAACAACCACAAAACUACUAAAAAUAACUCCCAAAACCCAGCAAAAUCACCUCCAAAAAGCUCUUCAAACACUGUAAAAAAUGCAUCAGCAGUUCUGGAAAAACGCAGCAGCGGUUGGUUUCUCAUAUUCCAUUUCCAAAAUCAGUUUUGAAGCCAUUUGAACUUAGUCCAUCAAGGUCGUCGAGGUCCCCUGGUUUGAGGUUCUCGUUUGCUUGACGAUUCGUUAAUACUUGCAACUGUAAAGGUUCGAUCUUGUUUCAGAUUCUAUGUAAAUACUUGAAUUCUUAGUUUGUUGUUUUGGUUGGAAUUAUUUUACAUGUUUUGAUUAGUUAUUUCCUUAUUACUUCUUUUUCGGUUUGUUUAGCGAGUUCUUUCAUGAGAUUUGCAUAUUGUUGCUUCCCUGUUACUCUUGAUUUGUGAACAAGGUUGCUUUAUUUGGUCAAUUGGAGUUCAAACUUGCUAUGUGGUCAUACAUGUUUUAUGGUGUUAUUUGGUUCAUUUUAAUCCGUUGGUAAUUAGUCUACAACAACUCAACAGUAAUAUGAUUUGUAAAUGAACUCAUUUAUGUGCUUAACUGUUCACUUUGUUCAUUUAUGCAAACUUAAUGAGUAGUUCAAUUGUCGUAAUCUCUUACUCAGUUAUGUUAAGUUUGGACACCUGUGCUUGAGGCAUGGUACAUGGUGGCAAAUUACUCUCUCAUUUGGGGGAAAGUUUAUAUGUGCAUGUGAGGGAAAUGAACCUUUACCCUAUACGAUUAGGUUAGUAUUGCAAAGCCAGUUAUCUUAAUAUUAUGCUGCCCAAUUACGACUCACAUAGCAUUGGGCAUUUACAUCUAGUCUGAAAUAUAUGAAAAUACCUUAUAGACAUGAUUAUAGUUUGGGUAUACUUUAAAUCGAACUAACUAUUACAAUCAUGUACACACAUACGUGACAUAGUUGUGAUGCCAAAAAUAAACCAAGGUAUACGUUCGCGUGACCAUGGUCAAACCUUUUAUUAAAUAAAAUGCCUUAAUCAAAUAUUCAUAGAAAUGCUUAAGGCGCGGUUUUUAAAUUACUAUCGUGAUUGCGAUUUUUUCGAAUAAAUCAAAGUUUGUGUUCGCGCGACUUUGACCAAUCCUUUUUUUUCUUAAAUAAACUAAGUGUUCGGAAUUGUGUAUACGUACGUGUGACAUGAUUUUUGACACACUAAAACUAAAAAGUAUACGUACUUGUAACUCAUCUUAAGUUAAUUCUUUAAAUAGGGAUUAUCAAGUGAUUAAUAGCGGUACAAGGUAAAAUAAACAUAGGUCCUAAAAUGAGUAAUUAGACAAAAUAAGCCAAGUAUAAAUUGCUAAGCGAUUGUGCUAAAACCAUGGAACCCAGGAAUGCCUAACACCUUCCCACGGGUUAACAGAAUUCCUUACCUAGUUUUUCUGGUUUCGUAGACUUUUAUAUGAAGUCAAAUUUUCCUCGAUUUGGGAUUUAAAAUAAACCGAUGACUUGGAAAACCAUAAAUUAUUUCAAGUGGCGACUCUGAAAUUAAAUAAAUAAUCUCACAUCGAUUAAUGUUACUUAAAUUGGAAAAACUCCCUUAUAUCCCCCCUCGGGUAAAAAGGAGGUGUGACAAUGAGCUUGUUUUGACUCCCACUCUAUCGGGAGUUCAUCCUAUUUUCCACGUUUCUAUGCUCCAGAAGCAUCAUGCCGACAGGUCGCAUGUGUUAGAUAACAUCACGGUUCAGCUAUAUGAGAGCAUAGGUUAUGAGGAGGAAACAAUUGUCAUUGUUGACAGGCAGGUUCGCCAGUUGAGGUCCAAGAAGAUUUAUACGAUAAAGGUUCAGUGGAGGGGUCAACCAAUCAAGGAGGUAAAUUGGGAGACCGGGGAGGACAUGCGGAGCAGAUAUUCGCACUUAUUCGGCACUUCAGGUAUGAUCCUAGACCCCUUCGAAGACGAACAUUUGUUUAAGAGAUGGAGAAUGUAACGACUUGACUAAUCGUUUUGCUUUUUAGAUCCUCGUUCCUCUAAUUAAGACUCCCUGUAUGUGCUUUUACUAUUUUAUAACUUGCGGGGAUGGUUAGUUCGAGUUUGAAAGGGUUCGGAUUGAAAUCGGAAUACUUAGUUCCUUAAUAUUGGCUUUAAAGGGUUAAGUUUGACUUGAGUCAACAUUUUGAGUAAAUGACCUCAAAACUAGGAUUUGACAGUCACAAUAGGUUCGUAAAAUAAUUUUGAACUUUGGUAUAUGUUCGGAUCGGGUUUUGGAUGACCCGGGAGUGUUUCGACCCUUAAUAUUGAAAGUUGGCACAUUGAAGAUUUUGAAGUUUUUUAUAUUUGGUUUGAAGUAAGUUUUGGCGUUAUCGAGGUCCCUUUGAGAUUCCAAAUCCGUGAAUUGUUAUAUAUGGUGAUUUAAGACUUGCACGCAAAAUUUGGCAUCAUUCCGAGUAGUCUAAGUAUGAUUCGGCGCGUUCAAAGCAAGUUAAAAACUCGAAGUUCAUAAUUUGAUUCAAUUUGAUUUUGGGGUGUGAUUCCUAGUUUCGAUGUUGUUUUACGCACUUUGAGAGUUCGAGCAGGUUUGUUUUAUGUUAGUGGACUUGUUGGUGCACUUGUACGGGAUCCCGGGUGGCUCGAGUGAGUUUCGAGUUGAGUUCCAAAAAUCUGGUGUGCUGGUUCUGGUUUCCUUCUUCGCGAAUGUGAGAGCUGUGUCGCGUUUGCGGAGAAGGAAAUAGUGAGGGACUGAGAUUUCUCUACGUGUUCACGACCCCUUGCCCGCGUUUGCAAAGGUCUGAAACCUAUGACCUCCGCGUUCGGGUGAGGAGGCCCGUGUUCGCGUAGAGAAAUGGGCCUGGGGGCGGGGGGAGGCUGAGCUUCUUCUUCUUCGCGUUCUCAAGUUGGACCCCACGUUCGCAAAGCUUAGGCUCGUCAGCCUUCACGUUCCCGUGUGGUUCCUCGCGUUCACGAUGGCUAUUUUCCUGGGGGCCCGGGCAGAUAGCCUUCACGAUCACAAUGACCUUUUCGCGAUCGCGAAGAAGGCAGACCUAGGCAGUGAGGUUCAUUUAAGACGGGACUUAGGCCAUUUUGGGUUCAUUUAUUUUACUUCUUGGAUGAUUUUGGAGCUUAUUAGAGAGGGGUUUCCACCUAGAUAUUGAAGGUAAGUAAUUUUCACCCAAUGUAAGUUCAAUACAUAGAUUGUAGGUAGAUUUUAACAUGUAAAAUUAUGAAAAUUAUGGGUUUAGUUGAAAAAUCUAGGUUUUUGAUAAAAAUGGGAUUUGACCACGAAAAUGAUUAUGGAAUUCGGUGAAAAUUAUAUAUUUGAGUUCGUGAGAUUAUGGGUAACAUUUAUCUUCGAAAAAUUUUCGGAAUCUAGGCACGUGGGCCCGGGAGUAAAUUUUAGGAAUCUUCCAAUUUGGGUUGGGUAAUUACUCUAAUAGUUAAAUUAUGAAGUUUUGAUUAUAUAUUGAUUAAUUUAUAUAAUAUUUGACUAGUUUCGGAUUGUUCGCACCGAGUUGAGGCUUUAGAACGAAUUUGUGGGUCGGAAAGUGAACCUGGAGACGAGAUAAGUCUCUUGCCUAACCUUGUGAGAGGGAAUAUAUCCAAAUAGGUGUUUUAAAUUACUAUUUGUUUCUAUUUGGGGGGGGGGGAGAUACAUACGUACUAGGUUACGAGAGUCCAUGCGUAGCUACUAAUCAUGCUAAGUUCAGGUAGUUUAGGUCCCAAAUCAUGAAAUACUUGAGUUGUUUGCACUCUACUUAUUAAUUUAAGUGCCUAGAUUAUAUUGAAACUUGAUAAAGAAUUCUUAAAGACUGAACUUCACUUACUUUGAGUUUGGCGGACUACUUGACUGUUAAUGAAAAUUGUGUUCCUUGUGUAUAAUUGCGUGAUAGCUUUAAUUUGGGUGUUCAUAGAAUAUUCUCUCUUCUUGUGGAGUGGGCCGAAUGCCUCGACGGUAUAACAGACGCAUCUAUGGUUCGUGUCGCUCGACCAUCGACAGUGUACACAUUAUUCUGGAUCGGACAGUACAACCUCGGCAUAAAUCGUGCGUAAUAAUGUUUGGAGCCCGAAUACACUUGAUAUUAUAUUUAUGACUUAAGAGGUUAUAAUUUAUUUGAUGGCCCAAAAUUGUUGAAGUUCGUGUCGUGUCAAUGGGAGAUUCUAAUUGAUUAUUAUUUAAGGAACCAUUUAUUUAUUGUUUGUUAUUGUGUUAUUAUUGUUGUUGUUAUUCACGUACACCAUGCCUAUUAGAAUUUAUGUAUUUAAUUAUUAUUGGCCCGUAGUAAGUAUCGAAGCCGACCCAUCGUCACUACUUCUUCGAAGUUAGACAAGAUACUUAUAAGGUACAUGUUGUUUAUGUACACACGCUACACUUCUGCAUUGAUCGUGCAACAUCUGAGGCAGGUGCAUCUAGCGGUUAUUCCGGCGCGCACCCCCCAAUACCCCGAGGCUUAGUGGUGAGCUGCCUUCUGAGUCCGUUCUGCAGCACCCGGAGUCUCUCUUUUGCAUUUUAUUUUCUGUCUACUCUAUUUGAGACAGUAGCUUAGUGUUUUGUAUAUUGUACUAGUUGCUCAUUUACUUAUGAUACAGGGUCUUGAAAUACAUGCUAGUAGGCUUUAUGA
rnacentral:lncRNA from 1 species